UUCCUACGGGAGGCAGCAGUGAGGAAUAUUGGACAAUGGAGGCAACUCUGAUCCAGCCAUGCCGCGUGCAGGAUGACUGCCCUAUGGGUUGUAAACUGCUUUUAUACAGGAAGAAACACUGGUACGUGUACCAGCUUGACGGUACUGUAAGAAUAAGCACCGGCUAACUCCGUGCCAGCAGCCGCGGUAAUACGGAGGGUGCAAGCGUUAUCCGGAAUCAUUGGGUUUAAAGGGUCCGUAGGUGGACUGAUAAGUCAGAGGUGAAACCCCGCAGCUUAACUGUGGAACUGCCUUUGAUACUGUUAGUCUUGAAUUAUUGUGAAGUGGUUAGAAUAUGUAGUGUAGCGGUGAAAUGCUUAGAGAUUACAUGGAAUACCGAUUGCGAAGGCAGAUCACUAACAAUAUAUUGACACUGAUGGACGAAAGCGUGGGGAGCGAACGGGAUUAGAUACCCCGGUAGUCCACGCCGUAAACGAUGGAUACUAGCUGUUCGGAAUUUAUUCUGAGUGGCUAAGCGAAAGUGAUAAGUAUCCCACCUGGGGAGUACGUUCGCAAGAAUGAAACUCAAAUGAAUUGACGGAA
rnacentral:rRNA from 1 species